GACGAACGCUGGCGGCGUGCUUAACACAUGCAAGUCGAACGGAAAGGCCUGCUUUCCCUUGUGGAUUGCGGGUACUCGAGUGGCGAACGGGUGAGUAACACGUGAGUGAUCUGCUCCCAACUUGGGUAUAAGCCUGGGAAACUGGGUCUAAUUCCCGAUAGGACUGCAGGGUGGUGCCUGUGGUGGAACACGAUUUUCUAGUGGUUGGGGAUGAGCUCGCGGCCUAUCAGCUGGUUGGUGGGGUAAUGGCCUACCAAGGCGGCGACGGGUAGCCGGCCUGGGAGGGUGGCCAGCCUGAUAGGGACAGAGAUACGGCCCUGACUCCUGCGGGAGGCGGCAGUGGUGAAUAUUGCACAGUGGGAGGAAGCCUGAGGCAUCGACGCUGCGUGAAGGAUGACGUCGGGCGGGUUGUAAACUCCGUUCGACCGCGAGGAAACCACCUGGAUGGAAGGGUGUUGACGGUAGUGGUAGAAGAAGCACCGGCUAACUACGUG
rnacentral:rRNA from 1 species